rnacentral:rRNA from 1 species
CCCUAUUAUAAUUAAUGUAAAAUGAAUUUUGAGUAGUAUAUGAUUAGAACAGGAAACUUAAAGAAUUUGGCGGUGUAUAUUCUAAUUAGAGGAAUAUGUUUUUUAAUUGAUAAUCCACAAAUAUUUUACUUAAUUUUAUUUAUUUUGUAUAUCUCCGUCUAAAAAAUUUUUUAAAAUAUUUUUUAAAAUUUAAGUUUAAAAUAAGUCAGGUCAAGGUGCAGAUAUAAUUAAGUUAAAAUGUAUUACAAUAAAUUUAUUUUUGAAUUCUUUUUUAAAUGGUUGAUGAAAUUGGAUUUAUGAGUAAAUUUAGUUUUGUCAUACUAGGUUGAAUUAUGUUAAUAUACAUGUACACAUC